AGAGUUUGAUCAUGGCUCAGGACGAACGCUGGCAGCGUGCNUAAUACAUGCAAGUCGAACGAACUCUGGUAUUGAUUGGUGCUUGCAUCAUGAUUUACAUUUGAGUGAGUGGCGAACUGGUGAGUAACACGUGGGAAACCUGCCCAGAAGAGGGGGAUAACACCUGGAAACAGAUGCUAAUACCGCAUAACAACUUGGACCGCAUGGUCCGAGUUUGAAAGAUGGCUUCAGCUAUCACUUUUGGGUGGUCCCGCGGCGUAUUAGCUAGAUGGUGAGGUAACGGCUCACCAUGGCAAUGAUACGUAGCCGACCUGAGAGGGUAAUCGGCCACAUUGGGACUGAGACACGGCCCAAACUCCUACGGGAGGCAGCAGUAGGGAAUCUUCCACAAUGGACGAAAGUCUGAUGGAGCAACGCCGCGUGAGUGAAGAAGGGUUUCGGCUCGUAAAACUCUGUUGUUAAAGAAGAACAUAUCUGAGAGUAACUGUUCAGGUAUUGACGGUAUUUAACCAGAAAGCCACGGCUAACUACGUGCCAGCAGCCGCGGUAAUACGUAGGUGGCAAGCGUUGUCCGGAUUUAUUGGGCGUAAAGCGAGCGCAGGCGGUUUUUUAAGUCUGAUGUGAAAGCCUUCGGCUCAACCGAAGAAGUGCAUCGGAAACUGGGAAACUUGAGUGCAGAAGAGGACAGUGGAACUCCAUGUGUAGCGGUGAAAUGCGUAGAUAUAUGGAAGAACACCAGUGGCGAAGGCGGCUGUCUGGUCUGUAACUGACGCUGAGGCUCGAAAGUAUGGGUAGCAAACAGGAUUAGAUACCCUGGUAGUCCAUACCGUAAACGAUGAAUGCUAAGUGUUGGAGGGUUUCCGCCCU
rnacentral:rRNA from 1 species